UAAGAUAUGGUGUUUUUAGAAAAACAUGCUAUUUACUCAAUAAAAUACGGAUAAGAUGUUGUGUUCUCAGAUAUAUAGGCAUUUUACACUAUAACUUACCGGUAAGAUAAGGUGUUUUUAGAAAAAUAGGUUAUUUAUUCCGUAAAAUACGGUUAAGAUGUUGCGUUCUCAGAUAUAUAGGCCUUUUACACUAUAACUUACCGGUAAGAUAUGGUGUUUUUAGAAAAACAGGCUAGUUACUCAAUAAAAUACGGAUGAGAUGUUGUGUUCUCAGAUAUAUAAGCAUUUUACACUAAAACUUACCAGUAAGAUAUGGUGUUUUUUGAAAAAUAAGUUAUUUACUCAAUAAAUUAAGGGUAAGAUGUUGCGUUAUGAGCUAUAUAAGCAUUUCACAGUAUAACUUACCAGAAAUAUACGGUGUUUUUAGAAAAAUAAGUUAUUUACUCCAUCAAUUACGGGUAAAAUAUUGCGUUUUCAAAUAUAUAUAGGCCUUUUACACCAUAACUUACAGGUAAGAUAUGGUGUUUUUAGAAAAACAUGCUAUUUACUCAAUAAAAUACGGAUAAGAUGUUGUGUUCUCAGAUAUAUAGGUAUUUUAUACUAUAAGUUACCGGUAAGGUGUG
rnacentral:lncRNA from 1 species